rnacentral:tRNA from 1 species
UGCCCGGUGGCGCAAUUGGUUAGCGCGUCUGACUGUUAAUCAGGAGGUUGAGAGUUCAAGCCUCUCCCGGGCAG